GUGAACGCUGGCGGUAGGCCUAACACAUGCAAGUCGAACGGCAGCACAGUAAGCGCUUGCUCUUACGGGUGGCGAGUGGCGGACGGGUGAGGAAUACAUCGGAAUCUACUUUUUCGUGGGGGAUAACGUAGGGAAACUUGCGCUAAUACCGCAUACGACCUACGGGUGAAAGCCGGGGAUCUUCGGACCUUGCGCGAUUGAAUGAGCCGAUGUCGGAUUAGCUAGUUGGCGGGGUAAAGGCCCACCAAGGCGACGAUCCGUAGCUGGUCUGAGAGGAUGAUCAGCCACACUGGAACUGAGACACGGUCCAGACUCCUACGGGAGGCAGCAGUGGGGAAUAUUGGACAAUGGGCGCAAGCCUGAUCCAGCCAUACCGCGUGGGUGAAGAAGGCCUUCGGGUUGUAAAGCCCUUUUGUUGGGAAAGAAAAGCAGCAGGUUAAUACCCCGCUGUUCUGACGGUACCCAAAGAAUAAGCACCGGCUAACUUCGUG
rnacentral:rRNA from 1 species